rnacentral:rRNA from 1 species
GAUGAACGCUAGCGGGACGCCUAACACAUGCAAGUCGAACGACCCUUCGGGGGAGUGGCAAACGAGCGAGUAACACGUACCUAACCUACCCAGAAGAUGGGGAAAGCCAUACAGAUAUGGCUAAUCCCCGAUAAUCCCCGCAUUAUGAAAUAAGUGCGGGGCAAAGAUUUAUCGCUUUUGGAGGGGGGUGCGUCCUAUCAGGUAGUUGGUGGGGUAAUAGCCUACCAAGCCUAUGACGGGUAGCCGGUCUGAGAUGAUGUCCGGCCGCGAUGGGACUGAGACACGGCCCAUACUCCUACGGGAGGCAGCAGUGGGGAAUCUUGCACAAUGGACGAAACUCUGAUGCAGCGAUCCCGCGUGGAGGACGAAGCCCUAUGGGGUGUAAACUCCUUCUCUGGUGGAAGAAGAAUGGCGGGUACUCCCCUACAUAAGAGACAGAUAAGUACGUGCCAGCAGCGCCGGUAAUACGUAGGUCUCGAGCGUUAUCCGGAUUUACUGGGCGUAAAGCGUCCGUAGCCCGAUAUAUAAGUCUGUUUUCAAAUACUCUGACUCAAUCAGAGAAAGGGGAUAGAUACUGUAUAUCUAGAGAUUGUUAGGGGUUAGUGGAAUUUCAGGUGGAGCGGUGAAAUGUGUUGAUAUCUGAAAGAAUGCCGAAAGCGAAAGCAGCUAACUAUAAUAAAUCUGACGGUGAUGGACGAAAGCUUGGGGGGCGAACGGGAUUAGAUACCCCGGUAGUCCAAGCUGUAAAUUACGUCCCCCUCGGUGUCUCUUCUUCGGAAGGGGUGCCGUAACCUAACGGGUUAAGCAAAUCGCCUGUGUAGUAUAUUCGCAAGAAUGAAACACAA